GAUGAACGCUGGCGGCGUGCCUAAUACAUGCAAGUCGAGCGAACGGACGAGAAGCUUGCUUCUCUGAUGUUAGCGGCGGACGGGUGAGUAACACGUGGAUAACCUACCUAUAAGACUGGGAUAACUUCGGGAAACCGGAGCUAAUACCGGAUAAUAUUUUGAACCGCAUGGUUCAAAAGUGAAAGACGGUCUUGCUGUCACUUAUAGAUGGAUCCGCGCUGCAUUAGCUAGUUGGUAAGGUAACGGCUUACCAAGGCAACGAUGCAUAGCCGACCUGAGAGGGUGAUCGGCCACACUGGAACUGAGACACGGUCCAGACUCCUACGGGAGGCAGCAGUAGGGAAUCUUCCGCAAUGGGCGAAAGCCUGACGGAGCAACGCCGCGUGAGUGAUGAAGGUCUUCGGAUCGUAAAACUCUGUUAUUAGGGAAGAACAUAUGUGUAAGUAACUGUGCACAUCUUGACGGUACCUAAUCAGAAAGCCACGGCUAACUACGUGCCAGCAGCCGCGGUAAUACGUAGGUGGCAAGCGUUAUCCGGAAUUAUUGGGCGUAAAGCGCGCGUAGGCGGUUUUUUAAGUCUGAUGUGAAAGCCCACGACUCAACCGUGGAGGGUCAUUGGAAACUGGAAAACUUGAGUGCAGAAGAGGAAAGUGGAAUUCCAUGUGUAGCGGUGAAAUGCGCAGAGAUGUGGAGGAACACCAGUGGCGAAGGCGACUUUCUGGUCUGUAACUGACGCUGAUGUGCGAAAGCGUGGGGAUCAAACAGGAUUAGAUACCCUGGUAGUCCACGCCGUAAACGAUGAGUGCUAAGUGUUAGGGGGUUUCCGCCCCUUAGUGCUGCAGCUAACGCAUUAAGCACUCCGCCUGGGGAGUACGACCGCAAGGUUGAAACUCAAAGGAAUUGACGGGGACCCGCACAAGCGGUGGAGCAUGUGGUUUAAUUCGAAGCGACGCGAAGAACCUUACCAAAUCUUGACAUCCUUUGACAACUCUAGAGAUAGAGCUUUCCCCUUCGGGGGACAAAGUGACAGGUGGUGCAUGGUUGUCGUCAGCUCGUGUCGUGAGAUGUUGGGUUAAGUCCCGCAACGAGCGCAACCCUUAAGCUUAGUUGCCAUCAUUAAGUUGGGCACUCUAAGUUGACUGCCGGUGACAAACCGGAGGAAGGUGGGGAUGACGUCAAAUCAUCAUGCCCCUUAUGAUUUGGGCUACACACGUGCUACAAUGGACAAUACAAAGGGCAGCGAAACCGCGAGGUCAAGCAAAUCCCAUAAAGUUGUUCUCAGUUCGGAUUGUAGUCUGCAACUCGACUACAUGAAGCUGGAAUCGCUAGUAGUCGUAGAUCAGCAUGCUACGGUGAAUACGUUCCCGGGUCU
rnacentral:rRNA from 1 species